GACGGGGGAUGCAAGCGUUAUCCGGAAUCACUGGGCGUAAAGCGUCUGUAGGUGGUGAUGCAAGUCACUGGUGCAAAACUCUGGCUCGACCGGAGGAAAGCCAGUGAAACUGCAUGACUAGAGUGUGGGAGAGGUAGAAGGAAUUCCCUGAGUAGCGGUGAAAUGCGUAGAUACAGGGAAGAACACCGGAGGCGAAAGCGUUCUAUGGGAACACAACUGACACUGAGAGACGAAAGCUAGGGGAGCGAAUGGG
rnacentral:rRNA from 1 species